rnacentral:rRNA from 1 species
AGUGAACGCUGGCGGUAGGCCUAACACAUGCAAGUCGAACGGCAGCACAGUAAGAGCUUGCUCUUACGGGUGGCGAGUGGCGGACGGGUGCGGAAUACAUCGGAAUCUACUUUUUCGUGGGGGAUAACGUAGGGAAACUUACGCUAAUACCGCAUACGACCUACGGGUGAAAGCAGGGGAUCUUCGGACCUUGCGCGAUUGAAUGAGCCGAUGUCGGAUUAGCUAGUUGGCGGGGUAAAGGCCCACCAAGGCGACGAUCCGUAGCUGGUCUGAGAGGAUGAUCAGCCACACUGGAACUGAGACACGGUCCAGACUCCUACGGGAGGCAGCAGUGGGGAAUAUUGGACGAUGGGCGCAAGCCUGAUCCAGCCAUACCGCGUGGGUGAAGAAGGCCUUCGGGUUGUAAAGCCCUUUUGUUGGGAAAGAAAAGCAGCAGGUUAAUACCCCGCUGUUCUGACGGUACCCAAAGAAUAAGCACCGGCUAACUUCGUG